AGAACGAACGUUGGCGGCGUGGAUUAGGCAUGCAAGUCGAACGAAUGUCAGCCUUGUAGCAAUACCGGGCUGGCGGAAGUGGCGAAAGGGGCAGUAAUGCAUGGGUAACCUACCCUGGGGACCGGGAUAGCCAUUCUAACGAGUGGGUAAUACCGGGCGAUGUAGCGAGGGGGCAUCCCCUUGCUACCAGAUGAAUUUCGCCCUGGGAGGGGCUCAUGUCGUAUUAGCUAGUUGGUGGGGUUACGGCCCACCAAGGCAAAGAUGCGUAGCGGGUGUGAGAGCACGACCCGCGCCACUGGCACUGAGACACUGGCCAGACACCUACGGGUGGCUGCAGUCGAGGAUCUUCGGCAAUGGGCGCAAGCCUGACCGAGCGACGCCGCGUGGAGGAUGAAGGCCUUCGGGUUGUAAACUCCUGUCGAGGGGGAUCAAGGCCAGCGUAAGCUGGCUUGAGAGAUCCCUGGAGGAAGCACGGGCUAAGUUCGUGCCAGCAGCCGCGGUAAGACGAACCGUGCAAACGUUGUUCGGAAUCACUGGGCUUAAAGGGCGCGUAGGCGGCUUGCCAAGUCGGGGGUGAAAUCCAGCAGCUUAACUGUUGAAGUGCCUUCGAUACUGGCAAGCUCGAGGAAGGUAGGGGUAUGUGGAACUUCUGGUGGAGCGGUGAAAUGCGUUGAUAUCAGAAGGAACGCCGGUGGCGAAAGCGACGUACUGGACCUUUUCUGACGCUGAGGCGCGAAAGCUAGGGGAGCAAACGGGAUUAGAUACCCCGGUAGUCCUAGCCCUAAACGAUGAGUACUAGAUUGUGGACUUAACAUGGGUUCACAGUCGAAGCAAAAGUUUUAAGUACUCC
rnacentral:rRNA from 1 species